rnacentral:tRNA from 1 species
AGAGGCCCGACGGCUUAAGAAACUGCUAACUUACUUUCCCCGAGGUUAAACCCCCCGGCUCACUCACCU